rnacentral:rRNA from 1 species
UACGAAGGGGGCUAGCGUUGUUCGGAAUCACUGGGCGUAAAGGGCUCGUAGGCGGCCAACUAAGUCGGACGUGAAAUCCCCAGGCUCAACCUGGGAACUGCGUCCGAUACUGGAUGGCUUGAAUCCGGGAGAGGGAUGCAGAAUUCCAGGUGUAGCGGUGAAAUGCGUAGAUAUCUGGAGGAAUACCGGUGGCGAAGGCGGCAUCCUGGACCGGCAUUGACGCUGAGGAGCGAAAGCCAGGGGAGCAAACGGG